rnacentral:lncRNA from 1 species
GGAUACAUUGGCCUGGGGCUAUCCCAACCGAGUCCACCAAGGCUGUUAAAAAAAAUCAUGUACGCAUAAAUCAUGUUUUUAUUUUGAGAACAUAGUCGUUCCUUGGCAUUGGCUGAGUUCACCCUCACGUGGUGGUUUGGCGUCAAGUGAACUCUAAAGUUGUACCUCGGGAGUUACCCUACGCGCCUUUCCGAUCGAGGUAAGAGUAUAAAGGGAUUUCGUGCCCCUCAAAAAGGCUGGUCCACAAAACCUGCCCACUACAGCAAGCUAAACCUACCAUACAAUAAAAUUUGCGAUAGCAUGACAUGGCAAUUAUUUUAUUUUACAGCCUCUCAAGGCAAAUCAACAGUUUAUACAUUUUUAACACAUUUACCAAUUCAACAAUUCAUGCCAAUAUUAUCAUAAGCCAUUCAAUUAUAACCAUAAAUUCACAAUACAUCAAAUGGUCUCCAAUUACUCUAUUUUCAAACCCAUCAUUCAAUUUCAAGACAAUUUAUAAAAUCAUUUCAUUUAAACACAUUUUGUUUAUAAAACCUAAAAAUUAACCAUUUAAACUCAUUUUCCAUAAAAUCACAAAAUUGAAUAAAAGCCACUUUAGAUAAUUAAGAUGAUAGUAAGGUUUCUCACUAUUUCAGGAGUCGAAUUUCGAGUACUCCAAUUCUUAAUCCUCGGGUACUAUCUCUUUACUUUUGCCAGAAUGCUCACCACCUAAAAAUAAUGCACAAUAAGCCAUUUACUACAUUGUGCUAAACCAUUGUAAAACCAAUUCAAGCUUUAUACUAAUGCAUGAAAUGGGAUACAAAUUGUUCGGAUUAUUGUCUAAACACGGUGUUCUACAAAAAUUCAAUUGUGUACCUAAAUAAAACAGUAUUGGCCUAAUUCGAUCUAUCACUCGAUUAAUUGGCCAAUAUGUCCAAUUUAACUCCAUUUUUCUUCCAAUUCUCCAAACCAUCAAACACAAGUCAAAUAGCAUAAAAUUUAGCAAAAUCAUCUUCACAUUUUCUCUUGGGAAUUUUGGCCAUGGUGGGUGCAUUAAUACUAUGAUUUUUCCUACUUGAUUUUGUCACCAUAAUUCAUCAUUUCCUAACCAAUUCACUUGAAAUAAAAUAAAAUCCACCAUCCACACUCUACAUGGAAGAUUCGGCCAAUGAUGGGUGAUGGGAGGAAGUGAAUUUUUCUUGUUGGCUUUUCAUGCUACACAUCACUAACUAACUAAAAAUACUAAAAUACAUUGAAAUCUAACCAAAUCAACCAUCAAAAUCUCUCUGUAAGUGUUCGGCCAGCAAGAGACCUAUCAUGAAAUCAUGUGAUUCAACCAUGGAAAAUGCAAAAGAAUGUAUGGGAAAGGUAGAUCACAAGUCAAAAUCAAGAAAUUUUACCUUUGAUUGCUGAAUUACUUUAAAUCCAUCAAUUUUCUCUUGAAUUUUCACUCAAGGGUUUUUGUGCUUUCUUUUCUUCCUUUGUUCUUACUUUG